rnacentral:rRNA from 1 species
UACGGAGGGUGCAAGCGUUGUUCGGAAUCACUGGGCGUAAAGCGCGUGUAGGCGGCCUUCUUAGUCUGGUGUGAAAGCCCGGGGCUCACCCCCGGAAGUGCAUUGGAUACUGGAAGGCUGGAGUACCGGAGAGGAGGGUGGAAUUCCUGGUGUAGCGGUGAAAUGCGUAGAUAUCAGGAGGAACACCGGUGGCGAAGGCGGUUCUCUGGGCCUUACCUGACGCUGAGGAGCGAAAGCGUGGGGAGCAAACAGG